rnacentral:rRNA from 1 species
AGACAGAGGGGGCAAGCGUUGCUCGGAAUCACUGGGCGUAAAGGGCGCGUAGGCGGGAUGGCAAGUCGGUCGUGAAAUCCCUGGGCUCAACUCAGGGGGGUCGGCCGAUACUGCCGUUCUUGAGGGAUGCAGAGGAGACUGGAAUUCCCGGUGUAGCGGUGAAAUGUGUAGAGAUCGGGAGGAACACCGGUGGCGAAGGCGGGUCUCUGGGCAUUCCCUGACGCUGAGGCGCGAAAGCGUGGGGAGCAAACGGGA